UAAAGGAGUGAUCCGGUGACGGAUGGGCAUGCGUGACAUUAGCUAGUCGGCGGGGUAACGGCCCACCGAGGCGACGAUGUCUAGGGGUUCUGAGAGGAAGGUCCCCCACACUGGUACUGAGACACGGACCAGACUCCUACGGGAGGCAGCAGUGAGGAAUAUUGGUCAAUGGGCUUACGCCUGAACCAGCCAAGUCGCGUGAGGGAAGACUGCCCUAUGGGUUGUAAACCUCUUUUGUCAGGGAGCAACGCCGGCUACGUGUAGCCGGACUGAGAGUACCUGAAGAAAAAGCAUCGGCUAACUCCGUGCCAGCAGCCGCGGUAAUACGGAGGAUGCGAGCGUUAUCCGGAUUUAUUGGGUUUAAAGGGUGCGUAGGCGGAAUGCCAAGUCAGCGGUAAAAUCGCGGGGCUCAACCUCGCUCCGCCGUUGAAACUGGCGUUCUUGAGUGGGCGAGAAGUAUGCGGAAUGCGUGGUGUAGCGGUGAAAUGCAUAGAUAUCACGCAGAACUCCGAUUGCGAAGGCAGCAUACCGGCGCCCAACUGACGCUGAAGCACGAAAGCGUGGGUAUCGAACAGGAUUAGAUACCCUGGUAGUCCACGCAGUAAACGAUGAAUACUAGCUGUUCGGGGCAAUUGGGCCUUGA
rnacentral:rRNA from 1 species